AGAGUUUGAUCCUGGCUCAGGACGAACGCUGGCGGCGUGCUUAACACAUGCAAGUCGAACGGAGCACCCUUGAUUGAGGUUUCGGCCAAAUGAUAGGAAUGCUUAGUGGCGGACUGGUGAGUAACGCGUGAGGAACCUACCUUUCAGAGGGGGACAACAGUUGGAAACGACUGCUAAUACCGCAUGACACAUAGAGGUUGCAUGACCUUUAUGUCAAAGAUUUAUCGCUGAAAGAUGGCCUCGCGUCUGAUUAGCUAGUUGGUGAGGUAACGGCCCACCAAGGCGACGAUCAGUAGCCGGACUGAGAGGUUGACCGGCCACAUUGGGACUGGGAUACGGCCCAGACUCCUACGGGAGGCAGCAGUGGGGAAUAUUGGGCAAUGGGCGCAAGCCUGACCCAGCAACGCCGCGUGAAGGAAGAAGGCUUUCGGGUUGUAAACUUCUUUUAAGUGGGAAGAGUAGAAGACGGUACCACUUGAAUAAGCCACGGCUAACUACGUGCCAGCAGCCGCGGUAAUACGUAGGUGGCAAGCGUUGUCCGGAUUUACUGGGUGUAAAGGGCGUGCAGCCGGGCAUGCAAGUCAGAUGUGAAAUCUCAGGGCUUAACCCUGAAACUGCAUUUGAAACUGUAUGUCUUGAGUGCCGGAGAGGUAAUCGGAAUUCCUUGUGUAGCGGUGAAAUGCGUAGAUAUAAGGAAGAACACCAGUGGCGAAGGCGGAUUACUGGACGGUAACUGACGGUGAGGCGCGAAAGCGUGGGGAGCGAACAGGAUUAGAUACCCUGGUAGUCCACGCUGUAAAC
rnacentral:rRNA from 1 species